GUGAGGAAUAUUGGACAAUGGAUGGAAAUCUGAUCCAGCCAUGCCGCGUGCAGGAUGACGGCCCUAUGGGUUGUAAACUGCUUUUAUACGGGAGCAAUAAGGUCUAUGCAUAGAUUGAUGAGAGUACCGUAUGAAUAAGCAUCGGCUAACUCCGUGCCAGCAGCCGCGGUAAUACGGAGGAUGCGAGCGUUAUCCGGAUUUAUUGGGUUUAAAGGGUGCGUAGGCGGCUUUGUAAGUCAGCGGUGAAAUUUUGCAGCUUAACUGUAAAAGCGCCGUUGAUACUGUGAAGCUAGGAUUUGGUUGCUGUGGGCGGAAUGUGUGGUGAAGCGGUGAAAUGCAUAGAGAUCACACAGAAUAUCGAUUGCGAAGGCAGCUCACAAAGCCAAUAUUGACGCUGAGGCACGAAAGUGUGGGGAUCAAACAGGAUUAGAUACCCGUGUAGUCC
rnacentral:rRNA from 1 species